ACGUAACUCCCAGCCCACCCACACCCUCAGCCACCGCUCCCCCACACCAACCCUGACGCCCGCUCCCACUCCCUCAAGCCUGACGCCCUCGACUCCCCCCUCCAACUGCGAUCCCCUCCCUUCUCGGUGACCCUCCACAACCUGACAGCCCUCUCUCUCUCACUCCCUAUCCCCCUCUCUCUCUCCACAGGCACGAGCACGGACGGCUCCUCUUGCGGCUCCUCCACAGGCGCGGGUGGCACAGCGUCACAGAGAUGAGUUCGUAGGCGGCACGGUUCCUCCAUAGGCACACGCGGCACGACGUUACAAGGGUAGGCUUGAGGGUGGGGUGGCUCCCAUCUCUGCUCUCCAUUCGUGUGAUGACGACAUGGAGGUGCGAGCAAGGUGGAUCUGGUGGAGGCCAGCGCCGUCGGUCG
rnacentral:lncRNA from 1 species